AACGAACGCUGGCGGCAUGCCUAACACAUGCAAGUCGAACGAGACCUUCGGGUCUAGUGGCGCACGGGUGCGUAACGCGUGGGAAUCUGCCCUUGGGUUCGGAAUAACAGUUAGAAAUGACUGCUAAUACCGGAUAAUGUCUUCGGACCAAAGAUUUAUCGCCCAGGGAUGAGCCCGCGUAGGAUUAGCUAGUUGGUGAGGUAAAGGCUCACCAAGGCGACGAUCCUUAGCUGGUCUGAGAGGAUGAUCAGCCACACUGGGACUGAGACACGGCCCAGACUCCUACGGGAGGCAGCAGUGGGGAAUAUUGGACAAUGGGCGAAAGCCUGAUCCAGCAAUGCCGCGUGAGUGAUGAAGGCCUUAGGGUUGUAAAGCUCUUUUACCCGGGAUGAUAAUGACAGUACCGGGAGAAUAAGCCCCCGGCUAACUCCGUGCCAGCAGCCGCGGU
rnacentral:rRNA from 1 species